rnacentral:rRNA from 1 species
GAUGAACGCUAGCGGCAGGCUUAACACAUGCAAGUCGAGGGGUACAGGUUUUCGGACCUAGAGACCGGCGCACGGGUGCGUAACGCGUAUGCAAUCUACCUUUUGCAGAGGGAUAGCCCAGAGAAAUUUGGAUUAAUACCUCAUAGUAUACACAAUCGCAUGAUUGAGUUAUUAAAGUCACAACGGCAAAAGAUGAGCAUGCGUCCCAUUAGCUAGAUGGUAAGGUAACGGCUUACCAUGGCUACGAUGAGUAGGGGUCCUGAGAGGGAGAUCCCCCACACUGGUACUGAGACACGGACCAGACGCCUACGGGAGGCAGCAGUGAGGAAUAUUGGUCAAUGGACGCAAGUCUGAACCAGCCAUGCCGCGUGCAGGAUGACGGUCCUAUGGAUUGUAAACUGCUUUUGUACAGGAAGAAACACUCCUUCGUGAAGGAACUUGACGGUACUGUAAGAAUAAGGAUCGGCUAACUCCGUGCCAGCAGCCGCCGUAA